UGCAGAAGGUUCUUGAAAUUUCUGCAUUGACAAAAACAGAUAAUAACUUCUCUAGCAUGUAGCACACUAAUUCAGUUUUUAUUUUGCUCUGUGACCACCUCUUUUUUUAUCUUGUUGACAACGCGUGUAUAAUUUACAAACAAUGUCGUAUCUAUAAUUAAUUAAACUAGCAGAAAUUUAACAAUUGUUAGUAAACAACAAAUAAUUUAUUCUACUUUUGAUCGUUUAAAUAGUUCUCAUGCUUCUGGAGUUACUGGACUAUAAAUGACACAAUCUUGCAUCAGAUGACAAUUGAUGCCAUAUUUACAUGCAUUACACUCUGACUAGCAGACAUGUUUAUGGCCAUAAAAAGAAAUUAUAAGGAAACCUCCUCAAUUCAAGUUGGCAAAGACCUUUCAUUGAGUGUGAGUGAUACAACAAUAUAUGUGGUCUUUUAGUCACAUGCAACUCAAGAUCAGAAUUGGCCUUUUAGGUUAUUUCAUGACAUUUGGAUUGCUUUGAUUCCGUUUUUGUAGAUAGCCAG
rnacentral:misc_RNA from 1 species